rnacentral:rRNA from 1 species
AAGGAUGAUCAUCUCAAGGACGUACAUCAGCUGUGGCAUAUAAAAUAUCUGAGCCUUGCCGCAAGCUUCCAAGGAAUAUUGACAAGUUACACUGACAAGUUGCACUGCUUAGAGACACUAGACCUAAGGAAGACAAAGAUAGAGAUAUUGCCAGUGGAGGUCAUUGGGAUGUCUCACCUAGCUAGCUCACUUGUUUGGAAAGUUAAUGCUUGGGAAGACUCGAAAGUGGGUGGACUAGAGAAGGUCUUACCAAAAAAAAGCAAGUUAAAGAUUCUUUAAGGGUUUGUUGCAGACAAAGCCCCAUGAUUUCUACAACUAAUGGCUCGAAAGAAC